rnacentral:rRNA from 1 species
AUUGAACGCUGGCGGCAGGCUUAACACAUGCAAGUCGAGCGGAGCGAAGGUGCUUGCACCUUAGCUUAGCGGCGGACGGGUGAGUAAUGCUUAGGAAUCUGCCUAUUAGUGGGGGACAACGUUUCGAAAGGAACGCUAAUACCGCAUACGUCCUACGGGAGAAAGCAGGGGAUCUUCGGACCUUGUGCUAAUAGAUGAGCCUAAGUCGGAUUAGCUAGUUGGUGGGGUAAAGGCCUACCAAGGCGACGAUCUGUAGCGGGUCUGAGAGGAUGAUCCGCCACACUGGGACGGAGACACGGCCCAGACUCCUACGGGAGGCAGCAGUGGGGAAUAUUGGACAAUGGGCGAAAGCCUGAUCCAGCCAUGCCGCGUGUGUGAAGAAGGCCUUUUGGUUGUAAAGCACUUUAAGCGAGGAGGAGGAGCUCCAGGUUAAUACCCUGGAUGCUUGGACGUUACUCGCAGAAUAAGCACCGGCUAACUCUGUGCCAGCAGCCGCGGUAA